GGGACUCACCCAGCCCCCUGCCUGCCUUCUCCUCCCCAGCCGAACCUUCCUUCCGCCUCCACCUCCAGGGCUGGAGAGGAAGGCAGAGUCGCUGAGACAGAUAAAAAGCCAACUGGAAAUUCAGGGACAGACACAAAGCCGGGAUUGUUGGAAGGGUCCGCAGUCUGGAGUGGGCACUAACAAUGGAGCUGUUCUUAGGCACUGGACCCCCAUCACCACGUGAAGGGACAACUUCCUCUGCUGUAGUGGCACCACCUGAUGUCAGCUCGCUAAAUCUCAUCUUCUGUGAAGGAAGAAAAGAGCUCGUCCAUAUCACCCAUCCAACCACCACACCUUAAAGGCCUGGGCUAGGCUGUAAAUAGUAACUCCCAGUUUUCAAGGACCUACCACUAGUGCCCGUGAGUUAUAGCAUCGAUCCAGAGAGAUACGGGCAAAGACCAUCUGAAAUAAAUGGCCGUCCACACGAAGC